rfam:Alligator mississippiensis ScZkoYb_4, whole genome shotgun sequence.
AUAUCUGCCCAACGUCAGGGGAGAUAUCAUAACCCCAAAGGUAAUUUUCCCAGGGUAAGGCCUAUACCUUGCACUUGGGGCAGGCUGAUCCCUGUGAGCUUCUAAAAUGCAGGAAACUUGACUGCACAAUUUUGGGGUAAUGGGAGACUACAUUCAUGCUUUUCCCCU